UUCAAAAUUUGUGGACAUAUACUCAACUUAUAUAUGUAUAACAUAUCCAAAAAUUACAACGAUCCAACGGUCGGAUUAAAAAUUAUAACUCACACAAUAUAUCUCAAAAACACUGAUUUAAUUUUUAAUACCUUCAUUCCGACAAAAAUACUGAUAAAACACCUCAACAUUAACUCCUUUAUUUUUAACCACAAUAAAUAUAUCCAAC
rnacentral:lncRNA from 1 species